rnacentral:lncRNA from 1 species
UUUUUCCUGUUGAUUGGGACUAAACAUCAGAGUUCUGGAGGUUUAGAACAAAAGGUCUAUUCCAAUCUUCUAGAGAACUGGCUAAACCAUCUUCAAUGAGUCUCUGGGUCGUGACACCAUGGGGGCGGCCAUUCUGGUUGACUCCAAAGAAAGUAAAAGGUCCAAGGUCAUCAUGAUAAUACCUUGCCUCGAAAGACAUGGCAGAAGGCAGAAAUGGCCUUGGAUCGGCCUCUACUAUCUCCAUGUGACCUUCUUCAUUCCAAAGGGCCAACUGUUGGUGAAGAGUGGAAGGGACACAUAAGCUUUGGUGAAUCCAGU